rnacentral:rRNA from 1 species
GAGUUUGAUCCUGGCUCAGAUUGAACGCUGGCGGAAUGCUUUACACAUGCAAGUCGAACGGCAGCACGGGUGCUUGCACCUGGUGGCGAGUGGCGAACGGGUGAGUAAUGCACCGGAACGUGCCCAGUAAUGGGGGAUAACACAUCGAAAGAUGUGCUAAUACCGCAUACGCCCUGAGGGGGAAAGCGGGGGAUCGUAAGACCUCGCGUUAUUGGAGCGGCCGAUGCCGGAUUAGCUAGUUGGUGGGGUAAAGGCCCACCAAGGCGACGAUCCGUAGCUGGUCUGAGAGGACGACCAGCCACACUGGGACUGAGACACGGCCCAGACUCCUACGGGAGGCAGCAGUGGGGAAUUUUGGACAAUGGGGGAAACCCUGAUCCAGCCAUUCCGCGUGAGUGAAGAAGGCCUUCGGGUUGUAAAGCUCUUUCGCAAGGAAAGAAAACUUAUCUACUAAUACUAGAUGAGGCUGACGGUACCUUGAUAAGAAGCACCGGCUAACUACGUGCCAGCAGCCGCGGUAAUACGUAGGGUGCGAGCGUUAAUCGGAAUUACUGGGCGUAAAGCGUGCGCAGGCGGUUCGACAAGUCUGAUGUGAAAUCCCCGGGCUCAACCUGGGAACUGCGUUGGAAACUGUCGGGCUAGAGUGUAGAAGAGGGGGGUAGAAUUCCACGUGUAGCAGUGAAAUGCGUAGAGAUGUGGAGGAAUACCGAUGGCGAAGGCAGCCCCCUGGGCUAACACUGACGCUCAUGCACGAAAGCGUGGGGAGCAAACA